rnacentral:lncRNA from 1 species
GGGAGAUUAAUAAUUAUUUUCUGUUUAAAUAAGGCAGAUGAGACAUUGAAUUGCACUCCUGUUAAUAAUUGAAUGUUAAAACAAAUGUACGACUGUGUUCCAGGACUGCAGAAAACAAUGAAUCAUGCAUUUAUUAUUUUAACUGAUAUGGUACAAUCAGCAGGGAACUCUUAUUUAGAGAGCAGGCUAGUGUCUGCUGUGCUGGUUAAAGCCUAAUCCAGGGUCUUGUGUUAUUGCAGCUCGUGGAAUGAGUCUAGUGCAUAGAAAUCAGAGGGCAGAGAGAAAGAGAGCAAGGGAAGAAAAAGAAUGUAUAAAAUACAGAAUCUGUUGGAACUCCUUGAGAUGUCUGUGAUGCUCGGUGUCUACAAAUACACAUCCGUGUAUCAGCCUUUGAUAGCUGGGAGCUGUCUCCUUUCAGCUGGACACAGAGGCCCCCCCAGCUGUGCAGCAGAAGUGAAGAUGUUUUUGACAUACCAGGGACAUGCAUUUUGCCAGAUCCACCCAGACAUCUUGUGCCAGGUUCUGUUACAGUCCACAGACCACACUGGAUGCAGGGUUGCAGUGGAAGUUGAGUGUAUCCUCAAAGAUAUCCAGAAGCUGUGCUGAAUGCAGGUCCACCCAUUCCUUUUGCUUUCUGCAGUAAUUUUUUAUGAUUUUGCACAUAGAGGUCUCCACGUAUUGGACAAUAUUUUGUCUGUUUCUUUAGAGGUACCAGUUG